GACGAACGCUGGCGGCGUGCCUAAUACAUGCAAGUAGAACGCACGGUUUAUACCGUAGCUUGCUCCACCAUAGACUGUGAGUUGCGAACGGGUGAGUAACGCGUAGGUAACCUGCCUGGUAGCGGGGGAUAACUAUUGGAAACGAUAGCUAAUACCGCAUAAUAUUAAUUAUUGCAUGAUAAUUAAUUGAAAGGUGCAAUUGCACCACUACCAGAUGGACCUGCGUUGUAUUAGCUAGUAGGUGAGGUAACGGCUCACCUAGGCGACGAUACAUAGCCGACCUGAGAGGGUGAUCGGCCACACUGGGACUGAGACACGGCCCAGACUCCUACGGGAGGCAGCAGUAGGGAAUCUUCGGCAAUGGACGAAAGUCUGACCGAGCAACGCCGCGUGAGUGAAGAAGGUUUUCGGAUCGUAAAGCUCUGUUGUAAGAGAAGAACGGGUGUGAGAGUGGAAAGUUCACACUGUGACGGUAUCUUACCAGAAAGGGACGGCUAACUACGUG
rnacentral:rRNA from 1 species